rnacentral:rRNA from 1 species
GAUGAACGCUGGCGGCGUGCCUAAUACAUGCGAGUCGAGCGAACAGACGAGGAGCUUGCUCCUCUGACGUUAGCGGCGGACGGGUGAGUAACACGUGGAUAACCUACCUAUAAGACUGGGAUAACUUCGGGAAACCGGAGCUAAUACCGGAUAAUAUAUUGAACCGCAUGGUUCAAUAGUGAAAGACGGUUUUGCUGUCACUUAUAGAUGGAUCCGCGCCGCAUUAGCUAGUUGGUAAGGUAACGGCUUACCAAGGCAACGAUGCGUAGCCGACCUGAGAGGGUGAUCGGCCACACUGGAACUGAGACACGGUCCAGACUCCUACGGGAAGCAGCAGUAGGGAAUCUUCCGCAAUGGGCGAAAGCCUGACGGAGCAACGCCGCGUGAAUGAUGAAGGUCUUCGGAUCGUAAAACUCUGUUAUUAGGGAAGAACAAAUGUGUAAGUAACUAUGCACGUCUUGACGGUACCUAAUCAGAAAGCCACGGCUAACUACGUG